rfam:Schistosoma rodhaini strain Burundi genome assembly, scaffold: SROB_scaffold0000287
GUCCAGCUGACGAGUCAAAAACAAGACGAAAAGCGCGUCCUGAAU